GGCUGAUACUGUCAGUCAUUAUCAUGACAAGCCAUUAUGCACAAAAGGCGGGGCAUAUUCCGUUCUUUGCCAUAAUUUUCUGGCUUGAUGUUCUCCAAUCAUACUACAAACUGAUAAGAACUCUCACCGAUUUGGCCCGAAAGCUUUUUAACGACUGAGUGCGUUUCUAAAAUUAUUCAUCCACAACACAAACGUAAAAAGAAUGUCAUAAUUGAUAGUUUUGCCUUUAACUACAUUUUCCAUGUACUUGAAGAUCUAUAGGUCCUUGUUAAUUAGAAAUGUGCAGGAAAAUCGAUCCAGCCGUAGGCUAGUCUGACCACAAAUCAAUAGCUAUUAUAGAAAAUUGCUAUUAGAUAUUCAGCAAGAUUGCUAACGCUUCAUUACAGAGCCCCUAUCUCAGUAAUACAUUUUCAAAAUUGUCUCUUUCAUUUGACAUACGCAUUCAGCCGACACAAGAAAACAGAUCCCCGGGGAAAAUAUCGUCGUUUGACUGAUCUUGUUGAAGUUCAGGGUGAAUUAGACAUCUAUAAAAAUACAUUUAAAGUGUUAUCUUUUUCGGUAUAAUAUCUUUGGUGUGUUAAAGGUCUAUCAUCUUCAGAUCAUUUCAAGUGUUUAUACAUUCACGUAUGCCUCGCAACAACCUACAUGGCAGUCAAAGUAGUUACUUACAUUUAUCUUCU
rnacentral:lncRNA from 1 species